UCUAUGUGACAGGGUACCAGACUUAGCCAAAGUCUCAUUUAUGUCAAGAAAAUAACAACAUCAUAGUAAAAAAAUACUCACAGGACCACGCAUAGUUACUGCAACAACAACAACAACAACAACAACAACAACAACAACAACAACAACAACAGCAACAGAAGCAGCAACAACAACAUGAUUUGAAAACAAUAAAACAUGACAACAGUAACAACUAGAGAUCAUAAGAUUAAGUGUUUUCAUCUACAUGUCAUUGCUCUGGUUUUCUAGACCACAAAAAGGCUGGAAUCCAAAAGGUAUUUGGGAGCUGGUCCCAGUCAUGCUUUAAAAUGUCAGCCAGUAAAAUGCUUAACCGUAAGUAAAACUAGCAUGAAGAUUUCCCUCAUCCUGGAUCACUCUCAUGGUAGGUUUUUGUUCUGAAGUCUAUCGUUGUGGUAAGAUGACAAGAUGUUACAAAUGUAUAAUUGAGCAGUUCACAGAUUCGCGAUGUGAGGGUAAAUUAUCAGGUUUUUGAAUCUUUAGUCACAUGCACUUGUUUCUUUGUCAUGUGGUGGGUCACUGAAGCAUACUAAAAUAAUCAAAAGACGAAUUGAUAUCUGCAUGAAAAAGAAUGUCAGUUGUGUCUCAGCUUUUCUGUGAACCAGAGGCAAGACAGACAUAAAACAGCAGUGGUCCCAGUACAGAACCAUGGGGAACUCCACUGACCUGAGCCACUGCUGAUGAACUUUAAUCCUCACUAAGAACAAAAUGAUAUUUUACAGAAUGAAUUCAAUAAUGACCCUAGAAUUCCACCUACUGUUUUUCCAGUACCAGCGCGCCACUUCAAAGACAAUCCAGAGUAUGUUUUUUAUGUGUGGUUCUAGAAUUGUGUGACACAUAUGAACACACUCUCCAGUCUUCACACUAAUCUGAGCUAAGAAAAAGAUAAACUAGCCAGCUGCAACAUAUCUAUUAUAUAUAUAUGCGUAUGUAUAAUGUAUAUAAUCCCACUUUAUUCUUAAUAAGAAGGCAAAUUGAUGUAUUUCCCCAAAUGUUGAACAAUUCCAUUAACACUCUGACACUGUUAGUGUCAAGUAUUAACUGUUCUGGAAUGAAAUACAACAUUUAGAUUUGCUUUUCAGGCUUGGGUUUGGAACACUGCACAGAAUUGUACAAAUGCAAGUAAUCUCUCUCUCUCCUGGCUGUCACCGCCUGUCGACCUGCUGCCAUGCCGUAAUACGCGGACUGCUCCUUUAUCUCUUGCAUCACCGUCACCAUCACUGUUAUGAUUUCUGUGCGUGUAUGUGUGUGUGUGUGUGUGUAUGUGAUAUUGCAUAACUUAGGCGUGAUAGAUAACCCACUCAGCAGCAGUAGUGAAAUAUGUGAGCAGUGGAUUUUUAUCAUCCCGGGCGUCAAGAGGAAACUUUACGUUCAGACGCACAGACAGUCCUGCUGCUGACACAGGUUGCAGCCUGCAAAUCAAAGUGGUGGGAUUAAAAACGAAAUGAAGUGUCACUUCAUGUUAGGUCCUUUGCAGCUGUAUCAGCCAACAUAGUUUACAGAAGACAACAAAAAGACGCCAUUUUCUAAUAAGGAACCUUUCAUGAGAGACUGAUUACUGAUUAGUAAUAAAUCAUAAAGAGAGCAGCUGUUGCACUGUAAAACUCUCCACGACUACAGAAUCCAUUAACGGUAGUUGCUUAACCAGAAGCAUCAGCACAC